rnacentral:rRNA from 1 species
AAGGUUAAGCCUCACGGAUCAUUAGUACUGGUUAGCUCAAUACAUCGCUGCACUUACACACCCAGCCUAUCAACGUCAUAGUCUUUAACGUUCCUUCAGGGGGCUUAAAGCCCCAGGGAAGACUCAUCUCGAGGCAAGUUUCCCGCUUAGAUGCUUUCAGCGGUUAUCUCUUCCGAAUUUAGCUACCGGGCAAUGCCAUUGGCAUGACAACCCGAACACCAGUGAUUCGUCCACUCCGGUCCUCUCGUACUAGGAGCAGCCCCUCUCAAUCUUCCAACGCCCACGGCAGAUAGGGACCGAACUGUCUCACGACGUUCUAAACCCAGCUCGCGUACCACUUUAAAUGGCGAACAGCCAUACCCUUGGGACCUACUUCAGCCCCAGGAUGUGAUGAGCCGACAUCGAGGUGCCAAACACCGCCGUCGAUAUGAACUCUUGGGCGGUAUCAGCCUGUUAUCCCCGGAGUACCUUUUAUCCGUUGAGCGAUGGCCCUUCCAUUCAGAACCACCGGAUCACUAAGACCUACUUUCGUACCUGCUCGAGCCGUCACUCUCGCAGUCAAGCUAGCUUAUGCCUUUGCACUAACCUCACGAUGUCCGACCGUGAUUAGCUAACCUUCGUGCUCCUCCGUUACUCUUUGGGAGGAGACCGCCCCAGUCAAACUACCCACCAGACACUGUCCUCACCCCGGAU